GCCGGGCAUGGUGGCUCAUGCCUGUAAUCCCAGCACCUUGGGAGGCUGAGGCGGGUGGAUCACCUGAGGUCAGGAGUUCAAGACCAGCCUGGCCACAUGGUGAUACCCCGUCUCUA
rnacentral:SRP_RNA from 1 species